rnacentral:rRNA from 1 species
ACAUACGCGUAGAGUUUGAUCAUGGCUCAGAUUGAACGCUGGCGGCAUGCCUUACACAUGCAAGUCGAACGGUAACAGGUUAAGCUGACGAGUGGCGAACGGGUGAGUAAUAUAUCGGAACGUGCCCAGUAGUGGGGGAUAGCCCGGCGAAAGCCGGAUUAAUACCGCAUACGACCUACGGGUGAAAGGGGGGAUCGCAAGACCUCUCGCUAUCGAGCGGCCGAUAUCAGAUUAGCUAGUUGGUGGGGUAAAUGCUCAGCCAAAGGCGACGAUCUGUAGCUGGUCUGAGAGGACGACCAGCCACACUGGGACUGAGACACGGCCCAGACUCCUACGGGAGGCAGCAGUGGGGAAUUUUGGACAAUGGACGCAAGUCUGAUCCAGCCAUGCCGCGUGCGGGAAGAAGGCCUUCGGGUUGUAAACCGCUUUUGUCAGGGAA